AUGGAUGAGGUCACAAGGGGUAUACAAGGAGAUAUCCCAUGGUGUAUGCUCUUUGCGGAUGAUGUGGUGCUAGUUGACGAUAGUCGGACGGGGGUAAAUAGGAAGUUAGAGUUAUGGAGACAAACCUUGGAAUCGAAAGGGUUUAGGCUUAGUAGAACUAAAACCGAGUACAUGAUGUGCGGUUUCAGUACUACUAGCUGUGAGGAGGAGGAGGUUAGCCUUGAUGGCCAGGUGGUACCUCGGAAGGACACCUUUCGGUAUUUGGGGUCAAUGUUGCAGGAGGAUGGGGGUAUUGAUGAAGAUGUGAACCAUCGAAUCAAAGCCGGAUGGAUGAAGUGGCGCCAAGCUUCUGGCAUUCUCUGUGACAAGAGAGUGCCACAAAAGCUAAAAGGCAAGUUCUACAGGACGGCGGUUCGACCCGCAAUGUUGUAUGGCACGGAGUGUUGGCCGACUAAAAGGCGACAUGUUCAACAGUUAGGUGUGGCGGUGAUGCGUAUGUUGAGAUGGAUGUGUGGCCACACGAGGAAGGAUCGAGUCCGGAAUGAUGAUAUACGAGAUAGAGUUGGGGUAGCACCAAUUGAGGAGAAGCUUGUCCAACAUCGUUUGAGAUGGUUUGGGCAUAUUCAGCGCAGGCCUCCAGAAGCUCCAGUGCAUAGCGGACGGCUAAAGCGUGCGGAGAAUGUCAAGAGAGGACGGGGUCGACCGAUUUUGACAUGGAAGGAGUCCGUUAAGAGAGACCUGAAGGAUUGGAGUAUCGACAAAGAGCUAGCUAUGGACAGGGGUGCGUGGAAGCUUGCUAUCCAUGUGCCAGAGCCAUGA
rnacentral:rRNA from 1 species